CACGAAGUGAGUGGCGAACGGGUGAGUAACACGUGGGUAACCUGCCCAGAAGCAGGGGAUAACACCUGGAAACAGAUGCUAAUACCGUAUAACAGAGAAAACCGCAUGGUUUUCUUUUAAAAGAUGGCUCUGCUAUCACUUCUGGAUGGACCCGCGGCGUAUUAGCUAGUUGGUGAGGCAAAGGCUCACCAAGGCAGUGAUACGUAGCCGACCUGAGAGGGUAAUCGGCCACAUUGGGACUGAGACACGGCCCAGACUCCUACGGGAGGCAGCAGUAGGGAAUCUUCCACAAUGGACGCAAGUCUGAUGGAGCAACGCCGCGUGAGUGAAGAAGGGUUUCGGCUCGUAAAGCUCUGUUGUUAAAGAAGAACGUGGGUAAGAGUAACUGUUUACCCAGUGACGGUAUUUAACCAGAAAGCCACGGCUAACUACGUGCCAGCAGCCGCGGUA
rnacentral:rRNA from 1 species